AGUCUCCCCCUCCCCUCUCCGCUCUCGCUCUCCGUGAUUUAUUACUUGCCCUGCUGCUUCUGACAAACUAUUUGUAGGAAAAUGAGAUUUGGUCCGCGCUGGAUGGCUCCUCUGGGAGGCAGGCGUGGGGGUCGGGUGUCGGAGGCCCCGUGCGCCCCCCCACCCCCCACCAGAGCCCACGGCGCUCACGGAGCUCUUUAAGAUAAAUGAGCAAAAUUAAGAGACUCACUGGGGGAAGAAAACACUGGAUGGGAGCGAGCGAGAGCGGAUGGUACUUGGUUUCCUCCCAGAAAUGCAUCCACGUGCGCCCCACUGGGGCCUCCCCCAUCUGCUGCAGACUCCAGGGAACUUCCUCCCCUCAAAGACGAACUUCCAGCCCUGGAGCAUGUUUCUUCCUUUCCUGGGAUGUGGCGCUGAAAAGGGCAGAAACCUCUAGUAAGGCACAAGCAACAGAUUGGGGGUGGAGCAGCAGGUCUCUUUGGAGGUGGCCUGGAAGAAACCGGACAGAGAGGAUGGGAAGGGGAGAAACAGAAGAGUGUGACGAGAUCAUGAAGGAAAGAGGAGGCGUCUACUGAAUGUAAGGUAGAGCCAAAGGCAUCUAUUGAUGACUGAAGAAGAGGCAUGAAUAUGACAAAAACAGGAAGGUAAGACAUGACUUUCACCUUCCGCCAUGAUUGUGAGGCCUCUCCAGCCAUGUGGAACUGUGAACACACAGUGUUCAUCCCCUCAGGAGGACACAGCUUUUGAGGUACCAUCUUGGAAGCAGAGACCAGACCUCACUAGACACAAACUUCCUGGCACCUUGAUUUUGGACUUCAUAGCCUCUAGAACUGUGAGAAAUAAAUUUUUAUUAUUUAUAAA
rnacentral:lncRNA from 1 species